rnacentral:rRNA from 1 species
CAGAAGUAGGGGCAAGCGGCGGUGGGAAGUGGUGGGGUGUGAGCGUGGUCCGGGAUUAUUUGGCGUAUAGGGGUCGUAGGCGGUUUGUCGCGGCGUGAGGUAAAACCAUGAGCUUAACGCAUGGCUUGCUUUCGAUACGGGCAGACUAGAGGCAUGCAGGGGAGAACGGAAUUCCUGGUGUAGCGGUGAAAUGCGCAGAUAUCAGGAGGAACACCGGUGGCGAAGGCGGUUCUCUGGGCAUGUCCUGACGCUGAGGAGCGAAAGUGUGGGGAGCGAACAGGAUUAGAUACCCGAGUAGUC